GACGAACGCUGGCGGCGUGCUUAACACAUGCAAGUCGAACGGAAAGGCCCUGCUUUUGUGGGGUGCUCGAGUGGCGAACGGGUGAGUAACACGUGAGUAACCUGCCCUUGACUUUGGGAUAACUUCAGGAAACUGGGGCUAAUACCGGAUAGGAGCUCCUGCUGCAUGGCGGGGGUUGGAAAGUUUCGGCGGUUGGGGAUGGACUCGCGGCUUAUCAGCUUGUUGUUUGGGUAGUGGCUUACCAAGGCUUUGACGGGUAGCCGGCCUGAGCGGGUGACCGGCGACAUUGGGACUGAGAGACGGACCAGACUCCUACGGGAGGCAGCAGUGGGGAAUAUUGCACAAUGGGCGGAAGCCUGAUGCAGCAACGCCGCGUGCGGGAUGACGGCCUUCGGGUUGUAAACCGCUUUCGCCUGUGACGAAGCGUGAGUGACGGUAAUGGGUAAAGAAGCACCGGCUAACUACGUG
rnacentral:rRNA from 1 species